AGAGUUUGAUCCUGGCUCAGAUUGAACGCUGGCGGCACGCUUAACACAUGCAAGUCGAACGGCAGCAUGAUCUAGCUUGCUAGAUUGAUGGCGAGUGGCGGACGGGUGAGUAAUGCGUAGGAAUCUGCCUUGGAGUGGGGGAUAACUCGGGGAAACUCGAGCUAAAACCGCAUAUAUUCUUCGGAAUAAAGCGCCUUCGGGUGCUGCUUUAAGAUGAGCCUACGUCGGAUUAGCUAGUUGGUGGGGUAAAAGCCUACCAAGGCGACGAUCCGUAGCUGGUCUGAGAGGAUGGUCAGCCACACUGGGACUGAGACACGGCCCAGACUCCUACGGGAGGCAGCAGUGGGGAAUAUUGGACAAUGGGGGCAACCCUGAUCCAGCGAUGCCGCGUGUGUGAAGAAGGCCUGCGGGUUGUAAAGCACUUUAGGUGGUGAGGAAUAGCUUGGUUUUAAUAGAGCCGAGUGAUGACGUUAGCCACAGAAUAAGCACCGGCUAACUCUGUGCCAGCAGCCGCGGUAAUACAGAGGGUGCGAGCGUUAAUCGGACUUACUGGGCGUAAAGGGUGCGUAGGCGGCGAAUUAAGUCAGUUGUGAAAGGCCAGGGCUCAACCUUGGAAUGGCAAUUGAUACUGGUUUGCUAGAGUCGAGUAGAGGGGAGUGGAAUUUCCGGUGUAGCGGUGAAAUGCGUAGAUAUCGGAAGGAACACCAGUGGCGAAAGCGACUCCCUGGACUCAGACUGACGCUGAGGCACGAAAGCGUGGGUAGCGAACAGGAUUAGAUACCCUGGUAGUCCACGCUGUAAACGAUGAGUACUAGCUGUUGGUGUCCAUGAGCAUCAGUAGCGCAGCUACGCAUUAAGUACUCCGCCUGGGACUACGCGCAGCUAAACUCAAGGAAUUGACGGGGCCGCACAGCGUGGAGCAUGUGGUUUAAUCGAUGCACGCGAGACUACUACCUGACAUCUGCGAUCUACAAAUGUAGAUGCUUCGCAUGCCAGACAGUGCUGCAUGCUGUCGUCACUCUGUCUGGAAUGUUGG
rnacentral:rRNA from 1 species